rnacentral:rRNA from 1 species
CCUACGGGAGGCAGCAGUGGGGGAUAUUGCACAAUGGGGGGAACCCUGAUGCAGCGACGCCGCGUGGGUGAAGAAGCGCCUCGGCGCGUAAAGACCUGUCAGCAGGGAAGAAAAUGACGGUACCUGAAGAAGAAGACCCGGCUAACUACGUGCCAGCAGCCGCGGUAAUCCGUAGGGGGCAAGCGUUAUCCGGAUUUACUGGGUGUAAAGGGGGCGCAGACGGCGAUGCAAGCCAGGAGUGAAAGCCCGGGGCCCCACCCCGGGACUGCUCUUGGAAAUUCGGGGCUGGAGUGCAGGAGGGGCAGGCGGAAUUCCUGUUGUCGCUGUGACUUGCUUAGUUAUCCGG